CUGGUUUUCUACAAGACUUAAGAGGUACAGAGACUGCACAGAAUCUCCCAGAAGACCUUAGUCAAUGCAGAAUUAAAUGGAAAAAUUCCACUUUUGUCAAAGGUGAAAAAUCUGGCUUUCCUUACAUGCAGAACCUCUAGAGACAUCAACAUGGUCUGUAUGAGCAACCUCAGCAAAAAAAAAAAAAAAGCCUCAUCUGAUAGACUGUCAGUCACAGAAAUAAUAAAGGAAAGAAAGAAGAGAGGAAGCUGUAUUUUAUUUUAAUAUAAUUACUCUUUUUGCUUUCCUAAUACGACAGUGUGAACAUACAUUGGGCUGUUUCUCAGUGACAAAACUGGCUACCAUGGCAAUAAAUGCUCUUUACUUACUUCUGGGUUUUAUAAGAUGUCGG
rnacentral:lncRNA from 1 species